rnacentral:lncRNA from 1 species
AGACUGUGGUCUGUGUUGGAUUCUGAUGUUCAGUCUGUGUCCUGUGUCUGUUCUCCUCUCUUCUCUCCUCUCCUCCUUCUGUGUUUACUACUUCUGCAGAAAAACAGCUCCAAAUGAGACUUCAGUUCCUCUGAACAGGACGUCGACCAGGGGAAGUGACAUUAGAGAGAAGGUACUGUGUCCAAACCAGACUGGGUGUUUUAAUUAUAUGAUGGAUGAACAUUUAGAUUAUAACACUUUGUAAACCAGUCCUAUUUUGAUCAGCAUAAUGUAAAAUAAUUCAAAAGCAAAGGAACAAGCAAAAUGAAUGACACACAAAACUUGAAGACAAAACAUCUCUUUUUCUCAGGAGGAAGAAGACCUGUGUUAUGCCUCAUUGGACAUCCGUCAGGGACAGAAGAGACCAAAGAAGAAGAAUAAAAUCCAGAACUCUGACCUCAGUACCUACUCAGCCAUCAAUACCAUGAGAGUGUGACCUCUACCAGCCAUCAAUACCAUAAGAGUGUGACCUAUACCAGCCACAAUACCAGCAGACUGUGACCUACACCAGCCAUCAAUACUAGCAGACUGUGACCUCUACCAGCCAUCAAAACCAUGAGAGUGUGACCUAUACCAGCCACAAUACCAGCAGACUGUGACCUAUACCAGCCAUCAAUACUAGCCGACUGUGACCUCUACCAGCCAUCAAUACCAUGAGAGUGUGACCUAUACCAGCCAUCAAUACCAGCAGACUUUGUCAUAUACCAGCCAUCAAUACCAUCAGUGUGACCUAUACCAGCCAUCUGGGAGAGUGUGACCUAAACCAGCUAGAAGUGGACUGGUCACCACUCUGAGCCUGGGUCCUCUCUAGGUUUCUUCCUAAAUGUUUGCCUUCUUAGGGAGUUUUUCUUAGCCACUGAAAUUCAACACUACUGUUGUUUGCUCUUUCGGGUUUAAGGCCAGGUGUUUUUGUAAAAAGCCCUUUGUGACAACUGCUGUUGUAAAAAGGGCUUUAUAAAUACAUUUGAUUGAUUGAUCAAUACCAGCAGAGUGAAUUGUACCAGCCAUCAAUACCAGCAGAAUGACAUGUACCAGCCAUCAAUACUAGUAAUAUGUGAGAACUAUACAAUUCAAUAGAAACUCUUAUACAUACGAGCCCCUGGUGUCUCUAACUGAUUUACUAUGUAACUCUGUGUGAUUUUCUCUGCCUCUCCAGUCUUUUCAUGGUAUUGAACUCAUGGGUUUGAGCCUCAGUGUUAAAUCUCUGAUGAAACUGUUGUCCUUUAGUUUCAUCACAUCAUCAAUAGCAGGUCCUCUAUAUUCUCUCUCUGUUACCAAUGUUUUGUUUUAAACGUGAGCUUUCAAUUACUUUGCAACACAAUAUGUUUUUAUAAUUUGCAAAUGUCUACCAACCGAUAAUAGUAUUCUUUUAGAUAUUACAUUAAGAAACAUUUUAUGAUCUGUAUUUUGAGAAUAUACCUUCAGAAGCUAAUCUUUUUAUAUAAAAU